UCCUACGGGGCGCAGCAGUGGGGAAUAUUGCACAAUGGGGGAAACCCUGAUGCAGCGACGCCGCGUGGGCGAGGAAGUACCUCGGUAUGUAAAGCCCUAUCAGCAGGGAAGAAACAGGACAGUACCUGACUAAGAAGCCCCGGCUAACUACGUGCCAGCAGCCGCGGUAAUACGGAGGAUGCGAGCGUUAUCCGGAUUUAUUGGGUUUAAAGGGUGCGCAGGCGGCGAGUUAAGUCAGCGGUAAAAUUUCGGGGCUCAACCCCGACGAGCCGUUGAAACUGGCUUGCUAGAGUGGGCGAGAAGUA
rnacentral:rRNA from 1 species